GAUCCCGAUAGGGCGGGUGGGGAGAGCAGACCAGGGGAUGCUGAGUGGGUGCUUGGGUUUAACUGGCUAAAGGGGGCUGCUUGGGUGUGCCUCGGGCCUUCCCCGUCGGGGCUGGCCUCGGCUCCACUGCCUCGGGGGCCUCGCGUCGCUCUUUCAACCCAAAGUUCUCGGCUUCUCGGGCCUCGGGGGCAGGCUGCGGAAAAUACGUUAGAGGAGGGAAUUCGCAGCUGUUGCGGGGAACGGGCUCAUCACAGAGGCUGGCCCUUCCAAAGCUCCAGAAAGCGUAGAGCAGGGGUCCGAGGGGGAGCGCUCUGAUGUCCCAGCGCGACCGCCCGAGACAAGGAGGAGGACGGACGGCGGGUCAAGCCUGUGGCUUGGCGGUCCCGGGGGCGCCCCUCCCCGGGGAGGCAUAGGGCUUAAUCAGCGCGGGGGACAGGCCGCCGCCUGCCGCCCGCUGCCCGUUAGCGCCGCUUCCCGAGCCAGAACGCCCGAGGGUAGCCCUGGGUCGGCCGGGAGCGUGUCCGCUGGGGUCUCCAUGGCGAUACUCCUCUGGCUCCCAGCACGCCCGCUUCGGUUGGCAUGGAAGCCGCUACCUCGAGGGCCGGUCGCGCCCUCGAUUGGCCCGAUUCAACAGACGCGGGUGGCUUGAAAGUAAUUAGCGCUCAGCCCUCCUGGCAGCUUCCGCAAAGAGCUGGAGCUGAGCGCCCCGGCUGGAAUCUAUUAACACACUCCGCCCCUCCCCUCCCCUCCCCCACCCCAUUCCCCCGGCCCCACCCGCAGCUCCUCCAGCCCCAAUCCUGGAGCGCACUCAUUAAUUGGAAGGUCUAUAUAUAUAGGCUGGACCAGCUAGCGCUGCGGGUUCCAAGCUGGUUUGGGCAUCGCCUGUCUGGUCGGUGGGAGGAGGGCCGAAGAGCAGUGUCACUCCGGUGUCCAAGGAGGGGACGUGACCUUCACUUUUGGCCCGGGGAGACUGAGGCAAUGCGUCGCAGCAUCUCCAAAGGCAGGAUUCCUCUGGGCCCCGCAGCCCGAAGCCAGGAGAUCUGUCAGGUGGUUGCCAGAACCCAGCCAGUCCAGGACCCCCCACAAAGAACUGUGCUAGGGCUUCUAACUGAAAAUGGGCAAUACAGGAGGACGUGUGGCCAGGGAAUCACAACCAUCAGGUGCUUCUCUGGAUCAGAAAAUGUCUUCCCUCCAGCUGGAAAGAAACUAAUCUCUAACUGUAUGGUCCAUGUGCCAGCCAAGCAAGGCUUUGAUAUCUAUGUAGAUGAACCAGAACAUGGGGAAACAUGUAGCUGUAGCUGCACUGUUAGAGAAGAAAUUGCAUAUGAAGAUGUGUAUGAAGUAGAUACCAGCACCCUGAAAUCAGACCUCCACUUCCUCUUGGAUUUUAGCACAGUUUCUCCUAUGUUGGUGGAUACAUCUCUGCAAUCACAGUUUGAGGAUCAUUUAGAUAUUGGUACAGAUGUAAUAAAUGUGACUGAAUAUGCUGAAGAAAUUCAUCAAUACCUUAGAGAAGCUGAAAUGAAAUACAGACCAAAGGCCCACUACAUGCGGAAGCAGCCUGAUAUCACAGAAGGAAUGCGUACCAUUUUAGUGGAUUGGCUGGUAGAGGUGGGGGAAGAAUACAAACUUCGAGCUGAAACUCUGUACCUGGCUGUCAAUUUCUUGGACAGGUUUCUUUCGUGCAUGUCUGUUCUCAGAGGGAAAUUGCAGCUUGUAGGAACAGCAGCCAUUCUGUUGGCUUCGAAAUAUGAAGAGAUUUAUCCACCAGAAGUUGAUGAAUUUGUCUACAUAACGGAUGACACUUACACAAAACGGCAACUUUUAAGAAUGGAACAUCUGCUCUUGAAAGUGUUAGCUUUUGACUUGACAGUGCCCACUACCAAUCAAUUUCUUCUUCAGUACUUACAGAAGCAAGGAGUCUGUCUAAGAACUGAGAACCUGGCCAAGGUAUGCCAGGCAACUGCUGAACAUCAGUAUGUUGCAGAACUGAGCCUCCUUGAAGCGGACCCAUUCUUGAAAUAUGUUCCUUCACUUAUUGCUGCAGCUGCUUAUUGUCUGGCAAACUAUACUGUGAACCGGCACUUCUGGCCAGAAACCCUGGCUGCCUUCACUGGGUAUUCAUUAAGUGAAAUAGUGCCUUGUCUGAGUGAGCUGCACAGAGCAUGCCUUGAUAUCCCCCAUCGACCUCAACAAGCAAUUAGGGAAAAGUAUAAGGCAUCAAAGUGGGGAGAGGUGUGGUUAGCUACCUAGUUGAGUGAUGGCACCAGACUGGGUGGAGCACCAUGAGCUUGCUAUACCAUCAAGAGGCUCCCCGAUUGGCUGAGAGUGAACCUGGGAUUGGAAGAAUGAACCAGUGAUCUUGGUUUAGACAGCUCAAGUAGGCAAUCCCCAAUUUGGCUAAGGUACCUGCAUGUCUCCCUUAUGGAACCACCUGCAAUUCUUCCUCUGAAAUAAAAUUCCAGAAAUAAAGCAUUUAAUCUCAAGAUCA